GAUGAACGCUGGCGGCGUGCCUAAUACAUGCAAGUCGAGCGAACGGACGAGAAGCUUGCUUCUCUGAUGUUAGCGGCGGACGGGUGAGUAACACGUGGAUAACCUACCUAUAAGACUGGGAUAACUUCGGGAAACCGGAGCUAAUACCGGAUGAUAUUUUGAACCGCAUGGUUCAAAAGUGAAAGACGGUCUUGCUGUCACUUAUAGAUGGAUCCGCGCUGCAUUAGCUAGUUGGUGAGGUAACGGCUUACCAAGGCAACGAUGCAUAGCCGACCUGAGAGGGGGAACGGCCACACUGGAACUGAGACACGGACCAGACUCCUACGGGAGGCAGCAGUAGGGAAUCUUCCGCAAUGGGCGAAAGCCUGACGGAGCAACGCCGCGUGAGUGAUGAAGGUCUUCGGAUCGUAAAACUCUGUUAUUAGGGAAGAACAUAUGUGUAAGUAACUGUGCACAUCUUGACGGUACCUAAUCAGAAAGCCACGGCUAACUACGUG
rnacentral:rRNA from 1 species